UUAGCAUGGAAUAAUGAAAUAGGACGUGCGGUUCUAUUUUGUUGGUUUCUAGAGUCGCCGUAAUGAUUAAUAGGGAUAGUUGGGGGCAUUAGUAUUCAGUUGCUAGAGGUGAAAUUCUUGGAUUUACUGAAGACUAACUACUGCGAAAGCAUUUGCCAAGGAUGUUUUCAUUAAUCAAGAACGAAGGUUAGGGGAUCGAAAACGAUCAGAUACCGUUGUAGUCUUAACAGUAAACUAUGCCGACUAGGGAUCGGACGACCUCAAUUAAAUGUGUCGUUCGGCACCUUACGAGAAAUCAAAGUCUUUGGGUUCGGGGGGGAGUAUGGUCGCAAGGCUGAAACUUAAAGGAAUUGACGGAAGGGCACCACCAGGAGUGGAGCCUGCGGCUUAAUUUGACUCAACACGGGGAACCUCACCAGGUCCAGACAUAACUAGGAUUGACAGAUUGAUAGCUCUUUCUUGAUUUUAUGGGUGGUGGUGCAUGGCCGUUCUUAGUUGGUGGAGUGAUUUGUCUGGUUAAUUCCGAUAACGAACGAGACCUUCACGUGCUAAAUAGCCCGACCGGCUUUGGCUGGUCGCUGGCUUCUUAGACGGACUAUCAGCGACUAGCUGAUGGAAGUUGGAGGCAAUAACAGGUCUGUGAUGCCCUUAGAUGUUCUGGGCCGCACGCGCGCUACACUGACAAAGCCAGCGAGUUUAUCACCUUGGCCGGAAGGUCUGGGUAAUCUUGUGAAACUUUGUCGUGCUGGGGAUAGAGCAUUGCAAU
rnacentral:rRNA from 1 species